UGGGGAAUAUUGGACAAUGGGCAAAGGCCUGAUCCAGCAAUUCUGUGUGGACGAAGAAGGUUUUCGGAUUGUAAAGUCCUUUCAGUCGGGAAGAAGAGGUGACGGUACCGACAGAAGAAGCAACGGCUAAUUACGUGCCAGCAGCCGCGGUAAGACGUAAGUUGCAAGCGUUAUCCGGAAUUACUGGGCAUAAAGGGCAUCUAGGCGGCGAUGUAAGUCAGGAGUGAAAAUUCAGGGCUCAACCCUGUCCUUGCUUUUGAAACUGCAUUGCUAGAGUUCGGGAGAGGAAGGCGGAACUACAAGUGUAGAGGUGAAAUUCGUAGAUAUUUGUAGGAAUGCCAAUGACGAAGGUAGCUUUCUGGACCGUAACUGACGCUGAAGUGCGAAAGCUAGGGUAGCAAACG
rnacentral:rRNA from 1 species